CCUACGGGCGGCAGCAGUGGGGAAUAUUGGACAAUGGGGGCAACCCUGAUCCAGCCAUGCCGCGUGUGUGAAGAAGGCCCUCGGGUUGUAAAGCACUUUCAGUGAGGAAGAACGCCUGGUGGUUAAUACCCAUCAGGAAAGACAUCACUCACAGAAGAAGCACCGGCUAACUCCGUGCCAGCAGCCGCGGUAAUACGGAGGGUGCGAGCGUUAAUCGGAAUUACUGGGCGUAAAGCGCGCGUAGGUGGCUUGAUAAGCCGGUUGUGAAAGCCCCGGGCUCAACCUGGGAACGGCAUCCGGAACUGUCAAGCUAGAGUGCAGGAGAGGAAGGUAGAAUUCCCGGUGUAGCGGUGAAAUGCGUAGAGAUCGGGAGGAAUACCAGUGGCGAAGGCGGCCUUCUGGACUGACACUGACACUGAGGUGCGAAAGCGUAGGUAGCAAACAGGAUUAGAUACCCCGGUAGUC
rnacentral:rRNA from 1 species